GCAGGGCUGAUGGACAGUGGUGGCACUGCAGGGCUGAUGGACAAUGGUGACACUGCAGGGCUGUUGGACAGUGGUGACACUGCAGGGCUGAUGCACAGUG